GUCUUAAGUUAAGAAACAAAAGACAGAUACUGGCUAGUUCUGCAGCGGAAAUCAAAAUAAGGAGUUGAACUCUAGCCUCAGCUCUGCCCCGUCAUCACCAGCCAUUAACCUGAAAACAUUUGAAAGUAAUUUUGGGCUAAGUACUAAUGUACUUAGUGGGCUGCAACUUUUAAAGCAUUUCAUAAUCUGAAGAACAGUUUAUCCAAUCUUACUGACAUGACAUAGAAGGUUUUAAAGAGAAAUAACUUCUAUGCAUGUUAAAACAUUUUACAUAUAUAUAUACUUAAUUAUUUUGCGCGCGUUUGCACACUCCAUUCUGUUACUCGCUGUGAUCCCGGACCUCUAGCCACCGACGGAUCUCUGUCUCCCGCUGACUUGAACUGAGGGCGUAACCCAGCCAAGUAUAAUAAACCUCGGAAAUUAAUCCAGACAGGCCUAUCAUUUCUAUGCUCCGGAACACAUCCCGUCGAGCACCCUUAUAACGCCUCUGGUUAGUGCCCGAUGGAGAUCAACCCACCGAGUCAGCUAACAAGUGUACACAAUUCUCAAACAACGUGUUAGGUCAUAAGAGAACCUCAAUUGAUUAACUGUACGAGCCUUAAACAUGGUAGAGUGCACAAAAAUAUUUUAUUGGAUAAACAGUUUAUAUUACACGAAUAUUUAAGCUCAAUAGCUAAAUCAUACAUUUGAAAAAUAAGCCCACCUGUAUAGGCAAAGCCUGUCGUUUAACCUUAUCUCUGAAUCGGAAUAGCAGUGCUAGUCCUCCUGAUGCUCAAAGCCUACAAGAAAUCUAUUCUCAAUAGGUCUCCUUGAAUUCUAAUCUUAAGUCAUGGUGAAGUGCUUAAUAUUCUAUGAUUCACUUAGCCGGGUUUUCAAAAUUUAAUGAAUAAAUAAUUGAAAAACAUUUCUCUUGAGUUAAGAACACNCAUACAUAUAUACAUACAUAGAUAUACUUAAGGUAUAUUACUUCUAUAGUGUAACCCUAUGAAAGGCUAACUCUAUGUGGAAACUGAUCUAUCUUGGUGGAAUACUCAAGUGAAUCCUUAAUCUUAUCUCAUUUCUGCUACGUUAUAACAUAUCUAUGUUAAACGUUUCUAUCUUACCAGUCCUUACUUAAUCGAUCAAGCAUAGCUGUCACGACUAACAUCCAAGGCUAUUCUUGGGUGGUACUCAAACAGUUGUAAGAGUUCUUAUUAUUCUGAUCGUAUAGGCAGUGAACCUAAAACAAUAACAUAACUUUCUUAUUCGUUCAUUCUCUUUGAAACCUGAAACAUGUGGACAUUUAAUGUCACAUGAAACUUUUCUAUUGCCGGAAAGAUUCAAAGAAUCUAACUCGACCAUACAUCUGGUAUUCGUGAAAGGCUCGAUAGUCCUAAACACGACUUUACUUCAUCUUAUCGUUAAGGGCUCGGGUUGUCCCAAACACGAUACUUAGCUGGUUAUAUGAGUCGGAGACUCAAAAUAACAAUAUGAAAGCGAUUAGCAAUUCAUAACUUAUAGCAUAUGGAAAGCGUUAAGCAAUUCACAUAGCAUCAUUUACUGAAGCGCGCACUUCUUGAAAACUCUAAAACAUUUAAUAACUUUGAAACUUUUAAAUCGUACCUUUUUCUUGCGGCAGUGUGACGGCGAGCUGAGGUUCAACAACUUUCUUAGAAGUCUAGAGGUACUAUUCUAGACUCAACAUUAGAAGCUUUUGGUUAUCAGAGACAUGAAAGAAAACUUAUGCUCUGAUACCAUUCUGUCACACCCCAAUUCUUAGAAACAAUAACUAUAACUUGGGUACGACUAAUCAAUCUAAAAUGAACAAGGGAAAAUCCUUGUGAAAUUCGGAUAAAAGGGAUAACAAUCGGGCUUAGCCCUUUGGAUGAAGAAAGACAGGUAUUCAAGUGAUACUAAUCAAUCAACAAACAUAACAACUUCAGGAUCACAAGUUUAGUGUCAUGCUUCAGAUAACCAACAUUCACUGAUUGAAAUACUUUGAGAGUCAAUAGUUUAGGCUCAACAAAAGAUAUUGUUUAGAAUCACAACAUGAUAGGUCUUAAGUUAAGAAACAAAAGACAGAUACUGGCUAGUUCUGCAGCGGAAAUCAAAAUAAGGAGUUGAACUCUAGCCUCAGCUCUGCCCCGUCAUCACCAGCCAUUAACCUGAAAACAUUUGAAAGUAAUUUUGGGCUAAGUACUAAUGUACUUAGUGGGCUGCAACUUUUAAAGCAUUUCAUAAUCUGAAGAACAGUUUAUCCAAUCUUACUGACAUGACAUAGAAGGUUUUAAAGUAGAAAUAAACUUCUAUGCAUGUUAAAUCAUUUUCAUAUAUAUAUACUUAAUAUUUUGCGCGCGUUUGCACACUCCAUUCUGUUACUCGCUGUGAUCCCGGACCUCUAGCCACCGACGGAUCUCUGUCUCCCGCUGACUUGAACUGAGGGCGUAACCCAGCCAAGUAUAAUAAACCUCGGAAAUUAAUCCAGACAGGCCUAUCAUUUCUAUGCUCCGGAACACAUCCCGUCGAGCACCCUUAUAACGCCUCUGGUUAGUGCCCGAUGGAGAUCAACCCACCGAGUCAGCUAACAAGUGUACACAAUUCUCAAACAACGUGUUAGGUCAUAAGAGAACCUCAAUUGAUUAACUGUACGAGCCUUAAACAUGGUAGAGUGCACAAAAAUAUUUUAUUGGAUAAACAGUUUAUAUUACACGAAUAUUUAAGCUCAAUAGCUAAAUCAUACAUUUGAAAAAUAAGCCCACCUGUAUAGGCAAAGCCUGUCGUUUAACCUUAUCUCUGAAUCGGAAUAGCAGUGCUAGUCCUCCUGAUGCUCAAAGCCUACAAGAAAUCUAUUCUUAAUAGGUCUCCUUGAAUUCUAAUCUUAAGUCAUGGUGAAGUGCUUAAUAUUCUAUGAUUCACUUAGCCGGGUUUUCAAAAUUUAAUGAAUAAAUAAUUGAAAACAUUUCUCUUUGAGUUAAGAACACCAACAAUAUUCUUACUCAUCUUUCUUUAAUAAUUGGAAUUAUAAUAAAACCAAUUAAAUCAUAAAUAUUCUUAUUGCAAAAUAUAAUGCAAAUCAUGUCAUGCUUAACAUAUAAUAAGUAAUUACUUAAAAUAUGCACAUAAUAAUAAUAAUAUAAUAUUAUUAUGAAAAUUAUCCUUUAAAUAAAUUAAUCAAACUAAUAAUAGUUCAAUUAAUUAAAAAUAAGAAAGCCCAAUUUAAUUAAUUGAAGGCAAUUCAAAAUCCUUAAAUAAAAUAAGGCCCAACAAAUUUAUUAGUUAAUAACCCAACUGAAACAAAAAUAAAUAAAAUCUCGGCCCAAAUACUCAUAAAAAUCGGCCCAUGACUCGAGCCCACUCUAUUAAAAUACGGCCCACAACUCGAGUCCACUCAUUAAAAUCGGCCCACUAUAUUAAAAAAAUACCAGCCCAACACUAUUAAACCCCGGCCCAACUGUCAAGCCCACUCCCCAACCCAAGCCCAACCCCCAAACGCCCAACCCUCACCCUAGCCCAACAUCCCAUUUCUCCACCUUCCUAAACUUCACGCUGCGCCCCCAUCCCAAUUCACUCUCUCCCUCUCUAUUCUCUCUCUCUCUCUCGGACGAUCUUGUCCGCCGCGGACGCUCGCCGGAGGAGCAGCGGCGAGAAGCCGCGCCAUCCUCGGCUUUCUCACACACACACACCCAUGAAAUUCGCUCGUCCAUCAUCUAAAUCCGCCGCUGCCGGAACUCAUCGGAGCAAGCGGCCACAGUAACUAACUCUUCGGUUCUCCCUUCUCUCGCCCUCGUCUCUCGCUCUUUUCCGGCGGCGGUAGCAGCGCCGCCUCCACCACCCGACCGCCGUCCCCUGACUCCCCUCUCCAUCUUCGGUCGGGCAGCAGCAGGAGAAGCGGACUGCCGCCCAGCCUCCCUCUUCAUCCUUCACUCUUCCUUCCUCACCUCCCUCGACUGUUCUCUCUCCCUCGACUGCUCUCUCACCCUCGACUGCUCUCUCGCCGCGGACGCUCACCGGAGGCGCAGCAGCGACGAGCUGCCGCCACCAACCACCGCUGAGCUCUCCACCUCCACGACACACCACUCUCUCUCAUUCCCUUUCCAAACUCAGUCCGGCGAACAGAAAUGAAGUUGCCGCCAACCGUACCUUACUGAAACCGGCAGAAAACAGCCUCCAAGGCUGCCUCCGCCUCUCUCUCUCUCCUGUCUCCGGCUGCCGUCGCCCGUAGAUCGGGUGACACCGCCUUCAACUCUCGCUCAACACAACCCUCUCCUUGACUUGACUCAGCAAGAAACACAACACUCACUCAACAAGCUAGAAGCAAGAACUGAGACAUGGAGAAACCAAGCUUCAAAAAGUCGUCCUCCUCUACUUCUUCUUUUAUAAAUCGUGCUCUGAUGUAUGAAUAUAUAUAUAUAUAUAUACAGAUUGUAUGCUUAUAAUUAUGAAUGUCAUUUUAAUGAAAUGCGUUGCUGGGUAUAUAUCAAAUUGUAUAUAGCUUUGAACAAGCUUGCAGCUUGAAGUUCGAUUUAUGAGCAGAGGUAAAAGAAAUCAAAUGGCUACCUUGUGAGAAAUUUCAGUGAGUGUUGAUCCUGUUUGUUUGUUGUGUGCUGGAUUCUGUCGAAAUGAUCUUGGUGAGCAAAUGAAAAUUUUCAGAAUGAGUGAAGUGAUAGGGAUGUCCGUGUGGUAUAGCUGAACUUGUGUGGGUGUAGCUCUGCACUUAGUUCCUUGGUAGGAGAAAUGGUGAGUGGAAGGGAAUGGGUAUUAUGGCUAAAGUUCCUUGGUAUGUAGGAGAAAUGGUGAGUGGAAGGGAAUGGGUAUUAUGGCUAAAGUUUAUUUUGGUGGGGGGCAAAGUAUCGUGUGAAGUGUGAG
rnacentral:lncRNA from 1 species